rnacentral:rRNA from 1 species
GAUGAACGCUAGCGGGAGGCCUAACACAUGCAAGCCGAGCGGUAGAGAUUCUUCGGAAUCUUGAGAGCGGCGUACGGGUGCGGAACACGUGUGCAACCUGCCUUUAUCAGGGGGAUAGCCUUUCGAAAGGAAGAUUAAUACCCCAUAAUAUAUUUGAUGGCAUCAUUAGAUAUUGAAAGCUGUGGCGGAUAGAGAUGGGCACGCGCAGGAUUAGAUAGUUGGUGAGGUAACGGCUCACCAAGUCGAUGAUCUUUAGGGGGCCUGAGAGGGUGAUCCCGCAACCUGGUACUGAGACACGGACCAGACUCCUAAGGGAGGCAGCAGUGAGGAAUAUUGGACAAUGGGUUAGCGCCUGAUCCAGCCAUCCCGCGUGAAGGACGACGGCCCUAUGGGUUGUAAACUUCUUUUGUACAGGGAUAAACCUACUCUCGUGAGAGUAGCUGAAGGUACUGUACGAAUAAGCACCGGCUAACUCCGUG